rnacentral:rRNA from 1 species
CUACGGGGGGCUGCAGUGGGGAAUAUUGGACAAUGGGCGCAAGCCUGAUCCAGCAAUGCCGCGUGAGUGAAGACGGCCUUAGGGUUGUAAAACUCUUUCGCUAGGGAAGAUAAUGACUGUACCUAGUAAAGAAGUCCCGGCUAACUCCGUGCCAGCAGCCGCGGUAAUACGGAGGGGACUAGCGUUGUUCGGAAUUACUGGGCGUAAAGAGUUCGUAGGCGGACUGACAAGUUAGAGGUGAAAUCCCAGGGCUCAACCCUGGAACUGCCUUUAAAACUGUCAGUCUAGAGACCGGAAGAGGUUAGGGGAAUACCUAGUGUAGAGGUGAAAUUCGUAGAUAUUAGGUGGAACACCAGUGGCGAAGGCGCCUAACUGGUCCGGUACUGACGCUGAGGAACGAAAGCGUGGGGAGCAAACAGGAUUAGAUACCCCUGUAGUC